rnacentral:rRNA from 1 species
UAGGGAAUAUUGCAAAAUGGGCGAAAGCCCGAUGCAGCAACGCCGCGUGGGCGAUGAAGGCCUUCGGGUCGUAAAGCCCUUUUUGAGGGGAUGAGGAAGGACAGUACCCUCAGAAUAAGCCUCGGCUAACUACGUGCCAGCAGCCGCGGUAAAACGUAGGAGGCGAGCGUUAUCCGGAUUUACUGGGCGUAAAGCGCGUGCAGGCGGAUUGGAGAGUUGGAUGUGAAAGCUCCCGGCUUAACUGGGAGAGGUCGUUCAAUACUUCCAGUCUUGAGUGCAGUAGAGGGGAGUGGAAUUCCGGGUAUGGUGGUGAAAUGCGUAGAUAUCCGGAGGAACACCAGUGGCGAAAGCGGCUUCCUGGACUGUAACUGACGCUCAGACGCGAAAGCUAGGGUAGCAAACG